GAAUUGACGGGGCCCGCACAAGCGGAGGAACAUGUGGUUAAUUCGAUGAUACGCGAGGAACUUACCUGGGCUUAAAGUGUAGAGUGCAUUUUUUAGAGAUAGAAAUUCCCUUCGGGGCUUUCUGCAAGGUGCUGCAUGGUUGUCGUCAGCUUGUGCCGUGAGGUGUCGGGUUAAGUCCCAUAACGAGCGCAACCCUUAUCGUUAGUUGCCAGCUGGUAAAGCAGGGGACUCUAGCGAAACUGCCACCGUAAGGUGAGAGGAAGGUGGGGAUGACGUCAAAUCAGCACGGCCCUUAUGUCCAGGGCUACACACGUGUUACAAUGGCCGGCACAGAGGGCAGCUACCUGGUGACAGGAUGCUAAUCUCGAAAACCGGUCUCAGUUCGGAUCGAAGUCUGCAACUCGACUUCGUGAAGCUGGAUUCGCUAGUAAUCGCGCAUCAGCCAUGGCGCGGUGAAUACGUUCCCGGGCCUU
rnacentral:rRNA from 1 species